AGUGCCAGUGGUCUGGUGUGCGGCCUUCAAACCCGUAGCAGAUGAGAGUCUGAGUGCUUCGAUUUCAC